AUUCCAGCUCCAAUAGCGUAUAUUAAAGUUGCUGCAGUUAAAAAGCUCGUAGUUGGAUUUGUGGCGCGGUCGUCCGGCGGGGCUCUUUUACUAGGGCCGUUUGUCUGGUUUUCGACCGCACCAUUCUCGGGUAGCGUGUGGCUGGCAUUAGGUUGUCGGCCUCUUCGCGCCCGUCGUUUACUGUGAAAAAAUUAGAGUGUUCAAAGCAGGCUUAGGCCGUUGGAUACAUUAGCAUGGAAUAAUGAGAUAGGGCCACGACGGUCUAUUUUGUUGGUUUGCACGUUGUGGUAAUGAUUAACGGGAACGGUUGGGGGUAUUCGUAUUCAAUUGUCAGAGGUGAAAUUCUUGGAUUUAUGGAAGACGAACUACUGCGAAAGCAUUUACCAAGGAUGUUUUCAUUA
rnacentral:rRNA from 1 species